UUGGCCCCUUGGGACUGAGAAAUACGGCCGCCAUCUUAAACCGGUCGUACUCCUAGUUUCGUUGCGUGGCAGCAGAUAAGAUGCCAGAGUGUUGUGGAGGAUUUUCCUGUCCUAAUCGGCGGACCAUCGCAAAUAGACCCCGGGGGAUUACUUUUCACAAGUGCUGUGAGCUGCUUGAUCCGCCGAGCUUUAACAAGCUAAGAUGUCAACAGUCAUGCACGUUGUGCGGGAGGAUCUGGAACAGAAGAUGUUUUCCUUCGUAGAGAGCACAUUGAGGAGACCCAGUUUGGAUCGACAACCAUCAGUCUGACUUCUUGUCAUUGGUUGUGUCUGUGUUUUUAAACAUAAGGCUCCACCAUGUUGCCAAACUCACUUCUCUUGAACUACAGAAAGGGAGCACGGGACCAAGGUGGUACUCAGCAGUGCCAGCACUCAAUUCAAAGGCUUAAAAUCCUACAGAUCAAAUGGAUCUGAGGGGAAAGUGUUUUCAGCUGUCGGCUCGAGAGCAUCUAGUCUGUCUCAGUUGGGUUCAGGCCGACAGAGUCAUUCAGGAAGCUAAAAGAGUUCUGCUGGACAGCUUGGAUUUUAGCCAGAUACAAGAUAAAGAAAUCCUGGAUGAUGUUAUUCGACUUGAUGUAUUUGUUGUAAAGUUCAUGGAUUACUUGGCAUCCACAGCCAUCUGUGUGUUUAUUGCUUUGUCCAGCAUUCUUUUAUGGAGCAUCCUUUACCGCUGCAUGUUUUUGAUGUCAGAUCUUAUGCCACCUUAUGCAAUGUUACUAAACUCUUCAAAUGUUUAGAGGUUACUAAAUAAUUUUAAUGUUACUUUAUUCAGACAUGUUUUAAGGUGGGAAAUAUCUUCAAUUUGAGUUUGUCUCUAUUAAUCUUAUAUCAUCGCUGAUCACUUUGAAUCAGAUGUGUUAGAUGUGGAAGACAUCCUAAACGUGCAGCGGUAAACUGAAGUUUAGGAUCUCUGCUAUAGACCAUGAUGAUUUAUUUGUGUGUUUAUAAUUCAAUGAGACUAUUUCUUUUACUUGUUUAAUAACUGUAGGUUUUUAUUUUUAUAAUAAUUUAAUUUAAACACUUUUAUGUGAUAUAAAAUCAAAUUUGCGGUUUAUGAAUUGUUGUCAAACUGAUGUUGGAUUUUCUAUGGAUGGUUUACA